AACGGAAAGGCCCUGCUUGCAGGGUACUCGAGUGGCGAACGGGUGAGUAACACGUGGGUGAUCUGCCCUGCACUUCGGGAUAAGCUUGGGAAACUGGGUCUAAUACCGGAUAGGAGCCAUCUUUAGUGUGGUGGUUGGAAAGUUUUUUCGGUGUAGGAUGAGCUCGCGGCCUAUCAGCUUGUUGGUGGGGUAAUGGCCUACCAAGGCGGCGACGGGUAGCCGGCCUGAGAGGGUGUACGGCCACAUUGGGACUGAGAUACGGCCCAGACUCCUACGGGAGGCAGCAGUGGGGAAUAUUGCACAAUGGGCGCAAGCCUGAUGCAGCGACGCCGCGUGGGGGAUGAAGGCCUUCGGGUUGUAAACUCCUUUCGCUAGGGACGAAGCUUUGUGGACGGUACCUAGAUAAGAAGCACGU
rnacentral:rRNA from 1 species